GACGAACGCUGGCGGCGUGCUUAACACAUGCAAGUCGAACGCUGAACCCGCUUCGGUGGGGGAUGAGUGGCGAACGGGUGAGUAACACGUGGGCAACCUGCCCCCGGCUCUGGGAUAACUCCAAGAAAUUGGGGCUAAUACCGGAUGUGACCGCUGGCCGCAUGGUCUGGUGGUGGAAAGGGUUUCCGGCUGGGGAUGGGCCCGCGGCCUAUCAGCUUGUUGGUGGGGUAGUGGCCUACCAAGGCGACGACGGGUAGCCGGCCUGAGAGGGUGACCGGCCACACUGGGACUGAGACACGGCCCAGACUCCUACGGGAGGCAGCAGUGGGGAAUAUUGCGCAAUGGGCGGAAGCCUGACGCAGCGACGCCGCGUGGGGGAUGACGGCCUUCGGGUUGUAAACCUCUUUCAGCAGGGACGAAGUGCAAGUGACGGUACCUGCAGAAGAAGCACCGGCCAACUACGUG
rnacentral:rRNA from 1 species